ensembl:lncRNA
CUUCACUUUUAUUCCUUGACAGAAUUUCAACGUCAGUUACAUCUAUUUAGUCAUAUGGGUGCAGCUACAACACCUCCACGCUUCCCAUCAAUAGUUACUAAAAAGUUAUUUCAUAAUUAUGUUUCUAAGGCUGAGCCUGCAUACUUACUAUUCACUUCUGUACAGUGGAAUGGUGGGGUCAAGUGUCUUUUACAAUCUCCGAUGGCUUCUAACCUCCUCUCAGAGGAGUUACACAUUUACAAAUGUACAGUACAGUAUAUUUAGACAUUUAGAUUUCCAAAGAGUCUCUUUCCACCUCUGUCAGCAAUGACCAUCACCAUCUCAUUCAUGGUGAAGUAUGAAAAUCAUAAGACUGAACAACAUAGGAUGGAAAUUGUUUAACAAUAAAUAAUCACUCAUUCUAAGUCACUCCAGGUUCCCAGAGAAUCUGCCUCUGCUUUCUGUGCAACAGCUGUGGUUUGAUUAACCAUGCUCACGUGAUCAACUUCACUUAAGCGGCUAACAGUCUUGUGGGACACAGAAGAGGGUUCAAUGUAACUUCUGCCUGUUAUGUUGUGACUGUUGUGUUCAGUGUCUAUGUGAAUGGACUUCUUACAUAUUUUGUUGUUUAGAGCUGAGGUAACCUAAGAUGGAGUUUCCUGUCCAGAGGCUGGCUCCCACCAGGCCAAACCAGAUCUGGGCAGGGGCCCAGGCAGAGGUGGUCAGCUGAGAGUGGACCAGGAACACCAGCAGCACCAAGCUGCCCUGAAAAACCAAGAGAAAACACUGCAGUCACCUUUCACAUAAAUUAUUCAGUGACAUCAAUGGCAGACUUGCAUGAUAAUUCCAGUUAAGCAUGCAGGUCUCAAGUCAGAAUAGGGAGGAGCAUGGCAUGUAGGCCUUCAUUGUGUGAAACUGCCACCUAGUCAUAGCUUUGCCUGACAUUAACUUAUUUUGUGGGUGGGGAGGGGUGUGUAUGAUGGGGUGUUAUUCUCAAUUGAUUCUAUGUAUUUAUAUGGAAGCAUCAGAAAUCAAAUCAAAUCAAAUCAAAUGUAUUUAUAUAGCCCUUCGUACAUCAGCUGAUAUCUCAAAGUGCUGUACAGAAACCCAGCCUAAAACCCCAAACAGCAAGCAAUGCAGGUGUAGAAGCACGGUGGCUAGGAAAAACUCCCUAGAAAGGCCAAAACCUAGGAAGAAACCUAGAGAGGAACCAGGCUAUGUGGGGUGGCCAGUCCUCUUCUGGCUGUGCCGGGUGGAGAUUAUAACAGAACAUGGCCAAGAUGUUCAAAUGUUCAUAAAUGAUCAGCAUGUUCGAAUAAUAAUAAGGCAGAACAGUUGAAACUGGAGCAGCAGCACGGUCAGAUGGACUGGGGACAGCAAGGAGUCAUCAUGUCAGGUAGUCCUGGGGCAUGGUCCUAGGGCUCAGGUCCUCCGAGAGAGAGAAGGAGAGAAUUAGAGAACGCACACGUAGACUCACACAGGACACCGAAUAGGACAGGAGAAGUACUCCAGAUAUAACAAACUGACCCUAGCCCCCCGACACAUAAACUACUGCAGCAUAAAUACUGGAGGCUGAGACAGGAGGGGUCAGGAGACACUGUGGACCCAUCCGAGGACACCCCCGGACAGGGCCAAACAGGCCCAGAACUCUCUAUUGUAAAAAAAUUAAUUAAAAUAAAAUAAAAAAAAGAGAUUGCUGAAAUAUCACAUACCACUGCUCGGCUUAUGAACACGGAUGGCUUUUCUUUGUUGGGUUGGAAAUUCUGUGUUGUAAAAGAGACAAAACUGUCACCCACCAUCAUGGCGCCAAAGGCUCUACUGAGGUGAAGAUGGAAGGUGUCCUCAGAACCUGUAAUGGGCU